GUGAUCAUAAGCCCUCUUUCUUUAC
rnacentral:sRNA from 1 species